ensembl:lncRNA
UGUAUAUUAUUGAUGGUCCGUCAGUAAUAAUGUGUUUUCGUUUCAACGAUGAUCUAAAAAAACGUAAAAUGUGAGCCACUUGGCUCACCUGGGGUGUUCAUUUUAUAACCUCAUACUUUGAGUGUCAAUGCUUUGUGUUUAAAAUUGAGUUGGCACCAUGUGAUGGCUAACAUGGCUAUAUUUAACUUUUCUAUUUUUUUAAAGAUUGGCCCUGAGCUAACAUCUGUUGCCAAUCUUUUCUACUUCUUCUCUUCAAAGCGCCCCCGCCCCUGUACAUAGUUGUAUAUUCUAUCAUAGGUCCUUCUAGUUCUGGUAUGCAGGACGCCGCCUCAACAUGGCUAGAUGAGCCGUGCUAGGUCCGUGCCUGGGAUCUGAAAUGGUGAAACCCUGGGCCACUGAAGUGGAGGGUACGAACGAACUUAACCACUCGGCCACAGACUGGCCCCCAGCAAUAUUUAGCUUUUAAUGUGUUGGUAGUCUUUACUUAUUUUUUUAGGAUCUACUCUUUUAGCAACUUUCCUAUAUGCGACACAGUAUUAUUAGCCAUAGUCACCAUGCUGUACAUCACAGUGUUUAUAGUCUUUAGAUUGGCAUUCUUGGCAUCAAAAUAACAGAAACCAUCUUGCUUUCUGUUUGAUAAAAAUCAUAUUGAAUUAUCUUACCAGUUGUAAAGCUAAAACCGCUCCUUUUCAGUCGUAAGAUGCAAUUAUUAAGUGUAGUCUUUUAAUUUAUUUAAUAAAUUAAUUUUUAUUUUCCAUCAUAAAAAUAACCAUGCUACUUUAAUUGUCACAGGCUAAUGAGAAAAGAACUGGGCCGACCUCAUACACAAAUGAUGCAUUCAUGCAAAAUGAAGGCCAAAUGAAUCAUGGCAGCAGUAUAAAUGAAGUUUUAUACUUCACAAUGGUUCAAAUAGGGGAAAAUGGCAAGAAAACUGAGUCAUUACAGGUUUCAUGGUAGCACGGGUGGAACUCAAAAGAAGCUAGGCAAAGCGGUCACUUUAUUCAGGGUAUAAGGAGAUGUAUUGGUUUGAUUCUGUGUUUAUAUCACAUGCCAACUUCCAAGUAUUCUCCAUGAAGAACUUUUCAUUAGAAGUUUUUUUUUUUAAUUUAACAUUAUCAUAUUUUGGAGAGCACCACUUUUAAGUCAGUUGGACCAAUUAAAAUAGCCAACUGAUGGUUUCAAAUGAGUGACCUGAUGGGAAGAAAAGUUAUAAUAAUGAUAAUGACUGUCCAUCAUGCUCAAAAUCAAAUAUUUAAGUCAACAGUUGCAACAUAAAAUGGGUAAAAUUUCUUAUUAUACUUUUAUAAUUAUGUGUAUAAAUUGUAAUUAAAUCAACAUUGGCUGUUUAAUGUCAGCAAAAUAUUACCACCUUUACACCAAAUUAAUGUUUUUUAUUUGAAUUUAUCUGGUGAUUUUGUUUUUAUUUGAUUUGUUCUUAUAGAUUUUUUUAAUUGUGGUAAGAAACACAUAUAAAAUUUACCAUCUUAACCAUUUUUAAGUGUACAGUUUGGUAGCAUUGAGUAUAUUCACAUUGUUGUGCAACAGAUCUCUAGAACUUUUUCACUUUGUAUUCUUAUAGUUUUUAAUGAGCUACGCGUAAAAGCAUUUAUACCUAAUUGUAUAUUGGUGCAUAUUUAAGGAACAAUAUGAUGAAAAUUAUUUGAGUCAACAGGGGGGCAGUUUCAAGAGAACUUGUUUCCUUUAAAAAAAAAAAAGAGGUUUGAGAAACGCUAACCAAUGUGAUAACUCUCGUUCUGUUUAAACGUUUGCUUAAGCAGCCCUCCCCCCUUUUCUUCGCUGGGGAGAUAGUUCAGAGUGGGCUGUGUUGGAGAAGACAAUGAUAACUUGUUUCUUGGAAAAGCAGACCCAGAGGAGAGCAUAGCAGUUUUCCCAGCCUGAAUUCAACAUUUCCUUUUUAAUAAUAGGUAUAAUAUGAACACAAUACUGCCUUUCAAAUUACUUUUCAAAAUACUUUCAAAUCCGUUAUCCUAUUUUCGAGGCCCCAUUGUGAAUCUCUAAAGUUAGUUUCCUUUAAAGUCUAACAUCACUGCCAAGUUUGGUAUGUUGGACCUUUAAUCAUUCCAACCACUGCUGCUGGGAGUCUUGCUCCUUAGCAAGACGUCGGAGGAGAGGAGGCUGUCUCCAGAUGGCUGUGAUUGCUCUUUGUAUACCUUAGUUGCAGGUCCUUCCAGCUGUGGGAUGUGGGACACCGCCUCAACAUGGCCUGACGAUCGGUGCCAUGUCCGCGCCCAGGAUUGGAACCCUGGGUCACCGCAGCGGAGUGCGUGAACUUAACCACUCGGCCACGGAGCCGGCC